CUUUUUUCUUGCUGUGAGGAUGGGUGUGAUGGCUGCAAGCUAUUUAUACAUCAAAGUAAAAAACAGAAUUUGUGAAUCUAGCAACGCAUGAUGUUGAAUACUGAAAGGGUCCAGCUGCCUCAGUUGUGACAGUGUCGAAUAGGAAAUAAACACCACACGGGAACAAAUGUCAUGUAUUGAUGCCAAGAACUCUGGAGACAUUACAGUUAAGACAGUUCAGAGCCCUGCCCUCAAGGAGACUUUAGUUUCGAAGGAGGAGAAGAAUGAGUGCGUGAAGAACUGAAGUUAAGGAAUUUCCAUAAUAACUUUAAAAAAAGAUGUCGACAGCCGUGAAACUAAGCAUCACUAAGGCCUUCCAGUGAGUACACGUAGCCUCUGCUGGAGAGUAAGAGUGAAGACGGAUCUUUUGCUGUCACUUCAGUGCUUCUUGCACAUUUUGUCACCUCUGAUCUCACAGAGG